rnacentral:rRNA from 1 species
CAGUAGCCGCGGUAAUACAGAGGGUGCAAGCGUUAAUCGGAAUUACUGGGCGUAAAGCGCGCGUAGGUGGUUCGCCAAGUUGGAUGUGAAAUCCCCGGGCUCAACCUGGGAACUGCAUCCAAAACUGGCGAGCUAGAGUAUGGUAGAGGGUGGUGGAAUUUCCUGUGUAGCGGUGAAAUGCGUAGAUAUAGGAAGGAACAUCAGUGGCGAAGGCGACCACCUGGACUGAUACUGACACUGAGGUGCGAAAGCGUGGGGAGCAAACAGGAUUAGAGACCCCUGUAGUCCCUGUCUCUUAUAC